GCGAACGCUGGCGGCAGGCUUAACACAUGCAAGUCGAGCGCCCCGCAAGGGGAGCGGCAGACGGGAGAGUAACACGUGGGAACGUACCUUUCAGUUCGGGACAACCAAGGGAAACUUUGGCUAAUACCGGAUACGCCCGUAAGGGGAAAGAUUUAUCGCUGAAAGAUCGGCCCGCGUCUGAUUAGCUAGUUGGUGAGGUAACGGCUCACCAAGGCGACGAUCAGUAGCUGGUCUGAGAGGAUGAUCAGCCUCACUGGGACUGAGACACGGCCCAGACUCCUACGGGAGGCAGCAGUGGGGAAUAUUGGACAAUGGGCGCAAGCCUGAUCCAGCCAUGCCGCGUGGAUGAUGAAGGCCUUAGGGUUGUAAAGUCCUUUUAACGGGGAAGAUAAUGACGGUACCCGUAGAAUAAGCCCCGGCUAACUUCGU
rnacentral:rRNA from 1 species